rnacentral:tRNA from 1 species
UCCGUGGUAGCUCAACAGGCAGAGCAGGUGGCUGUUAACCACCGGGUUGGGGGUUCGAGUCCCUCCCACGGAGCCA